rnacentral:lncRNA from 1 species
GCAUUAAUGUCUUCUUUUGAGAAGUGUCUGUGCAUAUCCUUCACCCACCUGUUGAUGGGGUUGUUUUUUUCUUGUAAAUUUGUUUGAGUUCUUUGUAGAUUCUGGAUAUUAGCCCUUUGUCAGAUGAGUAGAUUGCAAAAAUUUUUCUCCCAUUCUGUAGGUUGCCUGUUCACAUAUUUUACUUCUGCUCUUUUGUAACUCUCAGAAUCUCUUAGCUCUGAGAUUUGAAAAGCAGGCAAAAAAACCAAACACACAAAAAACAUAAUCUCAUCUCCACAAUGUUUUUGCCAUUUUAAGGUCUGAAGUUUUUGUUUCUGUCUCCUCCACCCUGCUUUUCCAUCCCUUUGUUUCACUAAGCUAUAAUUGUCUGCCCAAUGUAGAUUACAUUUUACAUCUCAGAUCAGAGAAACAUGUGGAAGGAAAUGCAGAAGUUAAAAAUAACAUGAUUUGAAUGUUUUAUUCAAGGCAUACUUAAAUAGGCAGCAUCAUUAACAACACUGAUUGACAAUAUGGCUGAAUGCAAAAGCUAUCCAAAAAGGGAGUGUUUGCCCCUGCAAAACAACAAGAUGUUAGGCCAUGGUAAUAUUAGGUUCAAUGUUUCACUUGGCAGCUUCCAUAGAGUCAGGAAAUUUGGCUUUCUGACUUCAAGUUUAAUAUUACUGAAAAAGUCUGUAAUGUACACUACAGAAGGGAAAAAGGAAGGGAAGUGGCACAUAUGGAUUGAAAACUGAAGAGAAUUAAUACCCAGUCAACAAAAUAUAUGCAUAUAUGUGGUGUAUAGGUAAAAUUUAUGAAUUACAUUUUUAAACAGGAUAAAAUGUGAAAUUUUAUAAAAAGGGACCCA